GUCUGGUGCCAGCAGCCGCGGUAAUUCCAGCUCCAAUAGCGUAUAUUAAACUUGUUGCAGUUAAAAAGCUCGUAGUUGUAUUUUUGCGUUGACGGUUUGACCAUUUGGUUGGUUAUUUCGUUUUCGCUUUUGGGAAUUUCCCUUUUUACUUUGAGAAAAUUAGAGUGUUUCAAGCAGACUUUUGUCUUGAAUACUUCAGCAUGGAAUAAUAGAGUAGGACUUUGGUUCUA
rnacentral:rRNA from 1 species